UACGUAGGGGGCAAGCGUUGUCCGGAAUCAUUGGGCGUAAAGAGCGUGUAGGCGGCUUGGUAAGUCCGCUGUGAAAGUCCAGGGCUCAACCCUGGAAUGCCGGUGGAACUGUCAAGCUUGAGUCCGGAAGAGGCGAGUGGAAUCCUGGUGUAGCGGUGAAAUGCGCAGGAUAUCAGGAGGAACACCGGUGGCGAAGGCGGAUCUCUGGGCCGUAACUGACGCUGAGGAGCGAAAGCAUGGGGGAGCGAA
rnacentral:rRNA from 1 species